CUGGCACAGGAUGUCUCAAACAAGUGACGCAUUAGUAGGGUUCUAUUUGUAAACGUUCCUUCCGCGUACUGUGGCGAGAUGUGCUAAUUACAAGCCAGCGACGUAGACUCGGAAAGAAAUCCAGAAUUUACGGACGCUGCAGGACUCUCGGUCUUUCUUUCACUCCUAUCUCUAUGGUUAGCAAGUGACCACUCUACACUCUGGAGGACUCAGCGAGCGCAGAAGAGCCCCAGGCGACCUUAUUGGCACGUGACCGGAAGUCUGACUUGCUAUUGGUUAAUGCUGGUAAAGCCCGCCCAACAGCCUCCUGUCAGCUCCUUUAAGUAGACUCCGUGGGGAAGCGCUCAGUCUUUCGGCGACUGUGAGGUUCGAGAGGUGAGGCUCUGUUUGUGGUGGGUCCUGGCGCCUAGGCCCGGGUCUCCGGGCCCUGGAGCCGGGUGGGUCGCGGGCGCCCUGCGGUGAUGACAUGCCAAAAAAAGCACGUGUUAGACUGCUGACGCGGGUGAUGCGAACUACAGUCUGAGCCGAGCCUCCGCGGCGGCGGCGGGGAGGGAACGGACCUGCGGGCGCAUGUCCUCUAACCCACUGCUAUCGUUCUUGCAGAUUCCUGCCGGGCCGAGAACGUAGACCACCUUCUACUCCCCUUCGCCCUUUCCCCGAAGCCUUUGAAUAAAAUGGUUUGAUCCCAGCCCGGGUCUUGGUGUUUCUUUUCGCGACGCGCUGCCUUUGAGCCCCCGCCGCGCCUGCGCGUGGCGCCGGGGGUCAGGCUGCAGCGCCAGAGCACGCGCUUGCGCAUAACUGGGGCCGCGCGGUCCUCCGCCGGCGGCCCUUUUAACCGCGAGCCACACGUCCGCACCCGGCUGCAAGGGGGUAGGCGACGUUGUGGGAAGUGCCCUGGAGAGACUACGGGGAUCCUAUAGGCCCCGCUACUCCGUUUCCCGCACAUUCCUAGUUCUUUUGUGGAAGUCCUGUCCUCUCCGUGAUUAUCGGGACCUGCAGCAUGCUUAUUCAGGCUUCCCAGUGGAGCUGACUGGCACUCACACUGUUGGUAAAGGAUCCAGACAAGAGGCUGUGUGUUAUCAAACUACCUAAAAACUUCCACCUGGCAUGGACCAAUGUUUUAAAAACUACAACAAAAACAUCAAAUUGCUAUAAACAUAUCUAAACACUCUCAAGAUCUAUACUUAUCUGUGGAUUAAUAACAAAUGUACUGGGUAGCACUAUCCCAGAAGCCUUUAAUUUCAUCUUCCACUGAGCAGUGGCAUCUGUAACCGAUACAUCUUAAAGCAUGAAAUUAUGUAAGUGAAGGAUGUUGUGAGGCACUUACACCCCAGGCCAGGCAGAGAGUAAGAGCUCUACAGAGGGCAGCUCUUCUAACUGGUGGAAAGAACUGGCUUUAGAGAGGAGGAAGACCGAGAAUAGAAACAUGUGAAGAUGAAGCUUUAAAUGUGAAUGAACCGUUCACAGAAGAAAGGAGAAUUGGAUUUGUGACAAACAUUAAGGUUCCAUGAAAAAUGUGUGUAAGUGCUUCUGCCCAGAGGGCACUUUCCACAAUGUCAAGGGUACGCAGGCUGGAUUUUUAUGGCCACGCAACAGGUUGUACGCACCAUAU